rnacentral:rRNA from 1 species
AUUGAACGCUGGCGGCAUGCCUUACACAUGCAAGUCGAACGGCAGCACGGGGCAACCUGGUGGCGAGUGGCGAACGGGUGAGUAAUGCAUCGGAACGUGCCAUUGAGUGGGGGAUAACGUAGCGAAAGUUGCGCUAAUACCGCAUAUUCUGUGAGCAGGAAAGCAGGGGACCGCAAGGCCUUGCGCUCUUUGAGCGGCCGAUGUCAGAUUAGCUAGUUGGUGAGGUAACGGCUUACCAAGGCGACGAUCUGUAGCGGGUCUGAGAGGAUGAUCCGCCACACUGGAACUGAGACACGGUCCAGACUCCUACGGAGGCAGCAGUGGGGAAUUUUGGACAAUGGGCGCAAGCCUGAUCCAGCCAUGCCGCGUGAGUGAAGAAGGCCUUCGGGUUGUU